rnacentral:tRNA from 1 species
GCCUGGCUGGCUCAGUUGGUGGAGCGUGCGACUCUUGAUCUCGGGGUUGUGAGUUCGAGCCCCGUGCUGGGUA